GAUGAACGCUGGCGGCGUGCUUAAUACAUGCAAGUCGAGCGGAAGGACGAGAAGCUUGCUUUUUUGAUGUUAGCGGAGCACGGGUGAGUAACACGUGGAUAACCUACCUAUAAGACUGGGAACAUCUCGGGAAACCGGAGCUAAUACCGGAUAAUAUUUUGAACCGUAUGGGUGAAAAGUGAAAUACGGUCGUGCUGGCACUAAUAGAUGCAUACGCGCUGCAUUAGCUAGUUGGUAAGGUAACGGCUUACCAAGGCAACGAGGCAUAGCCGACCUGAGAGGGUGAUCGGCCACACGGGAACUGAGACGCGCACCAGACUCCUACGGGAGGGACCAGUAGGCAAUCGUCCGCAACGGGCGAAAGUCUGACGGAGCAGGGCCGCGUGAGUGGUAAAGGUCUUCGGAGCGUAAUGCUCUGUUAUUAGGUAAGAACAUAUGUGUAAUUAACUGUACAGAUCUUGACGGUACCUAAUCAGAAAGCAACGGCUAACUACGUG
rnacentral:rRNA from 1 species